UUUGGAGGAAUUCAAAUGUUUAACAUUCUAUAGCGUCUUCAACGCCUCAAGACCCGGGAUUUCAGAACAACUUAAUUAAUGUGAGAUUUUGCAACAUUAAGGGAGUACGGUAUAAUCUCUUUCAAGAGAAUCGAUUCAGGUGUAGAUAGGCGAGGUGAGGACCAUCCACUGUAGGCUGCCUCCAUAUAUCAGCUUUUGGUUGAUUGAGUUGAGUUGUUUGAAGAAUUUCUUGGAAAUUAUUAAGGACUCAGCAGAGCUAAGGUAUGUUAAGGCUAAACCUUUCCUUCAUUUUAGCAUGAUCCCGUAACUACAUACGUUUGAUAA